ACAGGAUUCCCCUAGUAACGGCGAGUGAAGCGGGAAGAGCUCAAGCUUAAAAUCUCUGCGCAAGUUUUGCGUGGCGAAUUGUAGUCUAUAGAAGCGUGGUCAGCGCGAGCGCUUGGGGUAAGUUCCUUGGAAGAGGACAGCAUGGAGGGUGAUACUCCCGUUCAUACCUGAGUGGCUUGUGCGUACGACCCGUUUUCUUUGAGUCGCGUUGUUUGGGAAUGCAGCGCAAAGUAGGUGGUAAAUUCCAUCUAAAGCUAAAUAUUGGUGCGAGACCGAUAGCGAACAAGUACCGUGAGGGAAAGAUGAAAAGAACUUUGAAAAGAGAGUUAAAGAGUACCUGAAACUGCUGAAAGGGAACCGAAUCGUUUCCAGUGUCUAUAAUCUGCGGCAUAUUUCAUUGGCGAGUGUGUGCGUGCGUGUGCUUUUGCAGUGGCUUUUUUGGCUGCGCUGGGUGCGUGCUGUGCGUGUGUUUGCUGGUGCCCUGUGCUGCGGUGGGACGUCAAGGUCAGUUCGUAUGCUGCGGGAAAUGGCUGCCGGGGAGGUAGGGCUUACGCUUGCGUUUGUCUGUUAUAUCUUGGUGGACGAGUCGUCGCGGUUGGGACUGAGGUGCCUACAACGUGCUUUUGAGUGUGUGGAACUCUCUGUGUGCGCGCUGUGCGGAUAGCUUGCUAUGUGUGCGGUGCUGUGCGUGGAUUGAGGUCUGCUGUAACUUGUUGCCSUUCGGGACGUUGACGAAAUGGAGCGAUCCGACCCGUCUUGAAACACGGACCAAGGAGUCUAACAUGUGUGCAAGUGUUAGGGUGUGGAAACCCAAGCGCGAAAUGAAAGUGAAGGGCAGCGCAAGUUGUCUGAGGUAGGAAACGUGUGGCCUUUCGGGGCUGUGCGUGGCACUAUCGACCGAUCAUGAACCUUCGUGGUGAAAGAUUUGAGUUUGAGCACAUAUGUUGGUACCCGAAAGAUGGUGAACUAUGCCUGAGUAGGGUGAAGCCAGGGAAACUCUG
rnacentral:rRNA from 1 species